rnacentral:tRNA from 1 species
GGUGGGUUGGCUCAGUGGUUAGAGCGUAGGUCUCGUAACCGAAAGGUUGCGGGAUCGAAUCCCGCUAGAUGCUG